UUACGAGUCGAGCGAGGAAGUAUGCACACGGAGAAACAGCUCUACCCGGGCUGAGGAGUAUGGCCAACGGCUUAAAGAAAUUACAGGAAGCACUCAGAGCCCCACACGGAAAUGCGACGGCGACAUCAUGUGGUGAGACACAGAACAGUCCAACAGAGGACAUGGAUGUGUAUCAGGACAUGGACGAUAGCUUAUCAAACACCAAUUUGAAAAUUAAGCAUCACAGAUAAGAUAAGUGCAUGUCAAAUGGCCCAGUCAUCAUCAGUAUUUCAAGUGCUCAGCACAAGAAUGUAGCUGAAAUGAGUAAUCAGUACUCAAAUGGGUUUACAUGUCAUAUUACAGGUCCUUCAUCCCUACAGCAGUCAGACUCUUUAAUACAAAAAACAACAUAAUGUAGCACGGCUAGCUGUUUUGCAUCAUCAACCUACACAAUAAUCCAUUUAUCAGUUUUCUGUAUAUAAAUGAGGUGUUACUCAUUCUCAUCUAUAUUUAUAUUUAUAUUCAUCUGUACAUACAUUGAGGUGUUCAUAGUGUACAUAUUACCAUUAUUAUUAUUUUUUACUACUUUUUUCUCAUUUUUCUAUUCCUAUUGUAUAUGUUUUUUAGACAUUUUUUUCAAUUCAAAUCCUAUUUAAUGUGUAUUCUUUCCUACCUGUUUUUUGUGUAAUUGAGCUGUUGUAACGAGGGAAUUUCCCCAGUGUGGGAUCAAUAAAGUUUAUCUUAUCUUAUCUUAUCUUAAGUAAACACAACUUACAUGACUCAAGUUUUAGUUACACAAAUCUUCUUGGUGUGUUUCACUUAACUGAAAUGGAGUUAUUUAACAAAUAGUAAAUGGUAUAAGGCAGAGGGAUUAAAAAGAUCCAGUUUCAUAAAAUUCUUUAUAACGGUCCAGAUAAGUGACUAAUGACUGAAUGGUGACAACAGUUACGUUUAAUGCUUAACCUUUAAUGAUUAGUUCAUGGUUCAUAUAAGACACAUCAAAUACACUAUAUGGCCAAAAAUUACGUGGUCACCUGACUACCACACCUACCAAACCCUUUUAUGUUGGCACAGAGAAGCUGCCAGCUGUAGACAAUCUUGACCACUAGCAGGAAAUUAAGAGGCCUUGGUCUUGGGAAAUUAAAGGACAUUUUGGAACUUUCAGCACCAUUGAAUUAAUAAUCUAAGUGUUUGUAUGUAUAUUUUUGACCCUGUAUGUAUAAUUUUGACCUUGUGUUGACUACAGAAAACCCCAGAUAAAUGAAAACUUGUGAUCCAAAUUCUUGUUUUUAUUAAAGAUGUAUGUUGUACAAUCAUUCUGACCCAGAAAAAGAACAGUUCAAAGGAAUUAUUGAAAGCCAAAUAUUGCCAUGACAUUCAUGUCCAUGAUGAGUGUAUGUAAACUUCAGACCGCAAAUGUAUAUACAGUAUGCUUGUUAAACAUCUCUUUCCAAAACCAUGGGCAUUAAUAUGGAGUUGGUCCUCCACUCUUCAGGGAAGGCUUUCCACUAGAUUUUGGAAUGUGGCUGCAGGGAUUUAUGCUCAAUCAGGCAUAAGUGAGGCAUUAGUGAGGUAUGACGUUUAUAUCAGGUGAGAAAGUGUUCAGUGGGGUUAAAGUCAAGGCUCUGUGUAGGCUAUUUGAGUUCUUCCAUCUUUAUGGACCUCACUUUGUGCACAUGGGGCAUUGUCAUACUGGAACAGGUUGGGGCCCCAAGUUCUGCGGAAGGGAAAUCUUAAUGUUAAAGUAUGCUGACAUUCUAGACAAUUGUGUGCUUCUAAGUUUCUUGGAACACACAUAAGGGUGUGUUGGUCAGGUGUCCACAUACUUUUAGCCAUAUAGUGUAUAUUUUACAGCUGUUUUAUUUAGGCAGGGCAGUAGUAACUAGUUCUAAACAUUACUUAGUGGACACCCUGGAUGGCACCAUGCAUACACACACAUUCACACACUCAUUCACACCUAGAGCUAUUAAGUAUAGCAAAGAGGGGGGGGGGACUCCAUUAAAUGCAAGUCAGCUUGUCCAUAAUAUACAGUAAAUAAAAUAUACUUUAAAAAUGAAAAACAUUUCUGAAGUUGAGGCAAUCAAAAUGUUUCCUUUCCUUACAACUAUAAGCAUAAGUUAUUAAAACACAUCUGAUUUUUCCUAAAGCAUUGCAGCACAUGAUCAUCAUUAAAUAGUAGCACAAGCACUACAUUGAACACUCUAUCUGCCAUUUAAGAAAUUGAAAUUGAAAUUUACAAUGCUUUUGGGAAAUUCAGCCCAUAUCAAUUAUUAUCUCCAAAAAUCCUCCCUGUUAUAGACGAGGAGCUCUGUGGUAGGUGGAAGACCUCCUUUCCUCUUUUUCAUCAUGAAUGGUGUUUACUAUGUUUUCCCCCUGAACCACAAGUGUCUAUACACUGACAUGCAAUGGAAAUUUCUUACCUCUGCACCCACCAAAAGCAUUAAUAAGUUCCUGGAAGAGUGGUGAAAGAUGUGUGAACAGAGGUUCCUCUUUCACAAGAUGACUGCUUUUGUGUUGCUUUUUUCCAUUAUGCUUAAAGGUACAACAAGUACAUUUGGGCUGACAGUGGUAUUAUUGCUGGUCAACAUUUCCUUGCUUGAAAUGAAGUAGUAGAUAGUAUUUAAAUGCAAUGCCUAAAACUCUUCUUUUAAAAUACCUGUUACACCAUUAAUGUUCUAAAACAGUAAAUGAGGAACCUCCUGAAUGACAAGUGAACUACAAAUAAUAUGACAUCAUCACAUCCUAUAUGUCAGCUAAACGUUUGAGCACUGCUUUCUUUACUAAUUGACCUAUUUAAAUAACUCUAAUAUGAACAUAGUUUGAGAAGAGGUUAUUGUCAUUAUUGUUAUUACCUAACAAUCUCUCCCUCUCUUUACCUCCCUCUCCCUCUCUCCUUCUGUCAAGCCACACAUGAUUUUAUGGAGAUGCCAGUGAUCUUGACUCUUUCUGCUCUCCGGACCUGCCUGAUCCAUCCUGAUGCCCUACCUCUUGAUGGACCUCUCAUCAAUUGGAGGCUACAGCCUGGUGAUUGCUGAGGAUGGUACCGCUUGAAGUACCAUGGAAAUGGUUUUGGACCUCAAUUCCACAUGGACAUUCUCGCUGUGGUUGCUGGGACUAUGGUUGCUGCUAUGGUUUUAGGACUGCAAUUACCACAUACAAUUUUGCACUCAAGUCUCUUUUAGUGAACAGUGGACUAGUUCAACAAAAAGACUUCAUAUAAAAACCACAAUAAACAUUCUUUUAAUUUCA